rnacentral:misc_RNA from 1 species
GAUGAAGAACGCAGCGAAAUGCGAUAAGUAAUGUGAAUUGCAGAAUUCAGUGAAUCAUCGAAUCUUUGAACGCACAUUGCGCCCGCUGGUAUUCCGGCGAGCAUGCCUGUUCGAGCGUCAUUUCAACCCUCAAGCUCUCCGGAGUUUGGUGUUGGGGCGCCUGGGGCUUUUCGACCUCAGGGCCCUCAAGUCCAUCGGCGGGACCGCCAGGACUCUGAGCGCAGUAGUAUUAUUUCGCUCGGUAGGAUCUUCCACGGCGGGUCGAUCUGGCCGCUAAACCCCCCAAUUCUCACCAAAGGUUGACCUCGGAUCAGGUAGGAAUACCCGCUGAACUUAAGCAUAUCAAUAAGCGGAGGA